rnacentral:rRNA from 1 species
GACGAGGGGUCCUAGCGUUGUUCGGAAUUAUUGGGCGUAAAGCGCAUGUAGGCGGCCUAUCAAGUCAGAUGUGAAAUCCCCGGGCUCAACCUGGGAACUGCAUUUGUGACUGCAUCGCUGGAGUGCGGCAGAGGGGGAUGGAAUUCCGCGUGUAGCAGUGAAAUGCGUAGAUAUGCGGAGGAACACCGAUGGCGAAGGCAAUCCCCUGGGCCUGCACUGACGCUCAUGCACGAAAGCGUGGGGAGCAAACAGG